rnacentral:rRNA from 1 species
GACAGAGGGUGCAACCGUUGUUCGGAAUUACUGGGCGUAAAGCGUGUGUAGGCGGCCUUGCAAGUCGGAUGUGAAAGCCCCGGGCUCAACCCGGGAAGUGCACUCGAUACUGCAGGGCUUGAGUGUCGGAGAGGUUGGUGGAAUUCUCGGUGUAGAGGUGAAAUUCGUAGAUAUCGAGAGGAACACCGGCGGCGAAGGCGGCCAACUGGACGACUACUGACGCUGAGACACGAAAGCGUGGGGAGCAAACAGG